rnacentral:rRNA from 1 species
GUCCUUUUGAAUUUAAUAUAAGGUUUGACCUGCCCACUGAAAUUUUGAAUGGCCGCAGUAAUUUGACUGUGCAAAGGUAGCAUAAUCAUUAGUUUUUUAAUUAAAAGCUUGUAUGAAGGGUUGGACGAGGUAAAAACUGUCUCUAUUUAAUUUAAAAUAGAAUUUAAUUUUUAAGUUAAAAAGCUUAAAUAUUUUUAAAAGACGAGAAGACCCUAUAGAUCUUUAUAAUAUUUUUUUUAAUUUUAUUAAAGAAUUUUUUAUUAAUUAAUAAAAGUAUUAUUUUAUUGGGGUAAUAAAAAGAUUGAAAAAAUUCUUUUUUUUAUUAAACAUUAAUAAAUGAUUUUAUGAUCCAGUAAUAUUGAUUAAAAGAUUAAGUUACCUUAGGGAUAACAGCGUAAUUUUUUUAAAGAGUUCAUAUCGAUAAAAAAGUUUGCGACCUCGAUGUUGGAUUAAAAAUUAUCUUAGGUGCAGAAGUUUAAGAUUUUGGUCUGUUCGACCAUUAAAUUUUU